rnacentral:rRNA from 1 species
UACGUAGGUCCCGAGCGUUGUCCGGAUUUAUUGGGCGUAAAGCGAGCGCAGGUGGUUUAUUAAGUCUGGUGUAAAAGGCAGUGGCUCAACCAUUGUAUGCAUUGGAAACUGGUAGACUUGAGUGCAGGAGAGGAGAGUGGAAUUCCAUGUGUAGCGGUGAAAUGCGUAGAUAUAUGGAGGAACACCGGUGGCGAAAGCGGCUCUCUGGCCUGUAACUGACACUGAGGCACGAAAGCGUGGGUAUCGAACAGG